rnacentral:lncRNA from 1 species
ACGGAGUCCAGGAGCUGAUAUGGGUCGAGGAAUGAUACCCAGGCUGAUAUGGAAAAGACCAUGUAUUAAUCGCUUUAUCAUAUACUUCCGACAAUAGUUUUAUGUAAGGCAAAUAAACAAAAGCAUUAACUAAAACAGUCAAAAACUUUAUAAAGAAGUUAAAUUAUGAAUCAAAUAUACUAUAAUUGUCCAACAACAGCAUCACUACUUC